rnacentral:rRNA from 1 species
UACGGAGGGUGCAAGCGUUAUCCGGAUUUACUGGGUUUAAAGGGUGCGUAGGUGGGUAGGAAAGUCAGUGGUGAAAUCUUCGGGCUUAACCCGGAAACUGCCAUUGAUACUAUUUAUCUUGAAUACUUUGGAGGUAAGCGGAAUAUGUCAUGUAGCGGUGAAAUGCGUAGAUAUCAGGAGGAACACCGGUGGUGUAGACGGCUUACUGGACCACGACUGACACUGAGGCACGAAAGCGUGGGUAGCAAACAGG